rnacentral:rRNA from 1 species
AGAGUUUGAUCAUGGCUCAGAACGAACGCUGGCGGCGUGCCUAACACAUGCAAGUCGUACGAGAAACACGAUCUUCGGAUCGUGGAGUAAAGUGGCGCACGGGUGAGUAACACGUGGGUAACCUGCCCUCGGGUCUGGGAUAACUGGCCGAAAGGCCCGCUAAUACCGGAUAAGACCACAGGAGCUUCGGCUCCCGGGGUAAAAGUCGGCCUCUCGAAGAAGCCGGCGCCURAGGAGGGGCYCGCGGMCYAUYAGCUWGUUGGYGAGGUAACGGCUCACCAAGGSHVCGAUGGGUAGCUGGUCUGAGAGGAUGAUCAGCCACACUGGAACUGAGACACGGUCCAGACUCCUACGGGAGGCAGCAGUGGGGAAUCUUGCGCAAUGGCCGAAAGGCUGACGCRGCGACGCCGCGUGUGGGAGGAAGCCCUUCGGGGUGUAAACCACUGUUGCCCGGGACGAACGGCGGGGRAUGCCCCGCGUGACGGUACCGGGUGAGGAAGCACCGGCUAACUCCGUGCCAGCAGCCGCGGUAAUA